ACGUGUGGGUUUGUGAAUAACUCUUCAGACAGCUGCUGAUCUGAUGCUUGACAAGCAUUCUCCGCAUGUUUAGAGGAGGAGUUCCUCCAGUGAUUCUCGCCUGAAGAAUGACAAGAACCGAGACCAGAGAAACACCAGCAACAAGAUGUCCAGAAGAGUGGAGGUGAUCAUCAACUCCUUAACUCCGCGGGAUCAGGAUGAGCCUCCUCUUCACAUCACAGAGUCGAAGCCCGGAGAGCAUCCAGGAGUGAAGGGCUUCCUGAUGAUCCACCCGGAGGUGCUGGGGUGGCUGGAGAUCCUGACUGGGUCCAUGGUGUCAGGACUUGUCUACUGGAAUUACGAUCUCUGGCUGUUAAUACCGGCUUGCUUUGUGAUUUUAAUAGGAGUCAUCACAGCUACAGCUGCAUGCACCCGCAACCGCUGUCUGGUGAUCACUUCUCAGGUGCUGAAUCUGCUUAAUAUCUGCAAUGUGCUGGCAGCGAUCAUCGUGUUUUUCGUCGUAUUCUUCUUAGGGAUUCUUAAGGAUAUGCUUUUUGGACAUUUACUCCGUUCUCGUUUCCUGAAUGGCCUUUCUGAGAGUUAUCCAUCUCUGCCCGUAAACAUCUCUUUCGUCGCCUGUAACAUUCUGGCGCUCAUCUUCUCACUUCUCAUCAUCAUGACGUUGUGCUGCUGGUGUAAAACGAGAAAGCGUCUGAUGGUCAUCCACAUGAACGCAGCUUCACCGGCAGCGGUCAGUGACGUCGUGGAUCAUCCGUGUCCAGAAUCCUCCCCCCCGGGCUAUAGUCCAGUCCCAUCUUCAGAUCCGCCGGACUACGAGGAGGAACGACUCUCGACGCUUUCUGGAGUUUCUGCUCAGGAGUGGGCCAUGAGGAAAUGGAAAAGAGAACUACAGCGCAGCAGAAAACCCAUCCAAGUCUGACCGGAUUCAUUUAUGUAUUUAUGCUCUAAAGUAGAGCUUUAAUGACCUGUGUUUUAUUUGAUCUCUUGUGUUCUCAAGGCCUUUAUUAAUAGAAUGUCUAACAUCAUAACACUAGUUUCUCUUGCAUCAGAUGAACAACACAGAGAACAUUCACUGGUGGAUGUCACAGGACUUUUAUGCACAUUAGAUAUUUUGUGUCCUUGUUUUUAAAAACUGACAACAUUAGAAAACAUCAUAUGUGAAACUCUGCACAUGAAAUGCAUUAUGAAAUAUUCAGUGUUUCUGCAGGUCUCAAGUUGUCCUUCCACAAAUUAAGGCUUAAAAGGGUCCUAUGUCCUUAAAUCAGGAAGAAUGUUAUUUGCUCUGAUAAAAAAAAAAAAUGGCAUGAACUGCAAAAAAAUGUAUAUCUUCCUCAGUAUUUUUGUCUUGUUUUUAAGUACAUCCUGGCAUCAAAAAAUGAAGUCUUGCUUUUUUAAGAAAUCUAUCAAUAUGAAGGGAGUUUAUGGGAAAUGAAAAAGUUGUUUUCCCUGAAUUAAGUUUAUUUUUAUAUUUAGACUUUGUGUUUUCAUGCUUUGAGGUAUUGCUAGUGUAACUCAUUGUGUUUUCUUUCAUUUAAUUCUUCAAUUUUCUUUACUUGGUCUCAGAAAAGUCUUAAACCUGCCUUCUGAGGACUUGAAGAAACCCUGAUAUGCAGGAUUUGAGCAUUAUUCGUGGAUCAGAAACCAUGUUUAAGCGAGAUUGUGUUGAAAUGUGACUAGUUUUAGAGCGUAUUUCAGUAUUUGGAUCAGAAGCUGUACUUGCAUGUCUGAAAAAAGCUGUCCGGAGAUGACUGCCGAGACAUUAUUUCUGAUAUUUGCUCAUCUGCGGACAGUAAAUACACAGGAAAAGUAUUGCUUCUGCGUUCCCUCAAUCUCAGACACGCUCUUCUUAUGUGCAAUCUUACUAUUGAACUUGUUUAUUUUGUUUGAAUGUACACACUAGCAGUCUGUAAACCGUUUUGAAUUUGCACUAUAGAGUUCAUGUAUUAUUAGUAGUGUUAUGGUAAUUGUUGUUCAAUGGAGAAUUUCCUAAAGCUAAUAAAUCUUUCUUGGCAACAGGUUCUGUUGGUUUCUCAUCAGUUUUGCCAUCUGAUUCAUUCAUGAUCUGUUGGAGAAUGACAUGAUUUUAUUGACAUAAUGAUAUAUAUAUUAUUAUAAUUUUUUUUUUUUUUUAAUCAGAAACUAGCCUAAACUUUUUGUGUUAGCUAUACCCUGUAUAAAUUAUAACAGAAUGGUCUAUUUAUAACAACACAACACUGUUUUGAAACGUAAUUGGAGUAUUUAAAAUAACCCUGAUUUAUACUUUAGCGCGUUCAUAUAUUUAUUUAAACACUUUAGCAUUAUUAUAGUAUUCCGAUCUUCGUCUUAAAUACAUUUGUAACAACAAAAGAGCGCGUAUACCGUUGCUAAAAUACAUAUCCUAUUCUUUUGAUCUCAAUACUUUUUGAAAUUGUAUUACUUUAAUAAGAAUAUAUUUUAAAAAGUCCCAUCAGCCUUUGUUGUUGUUUUUUUAGGUUACUUUAGAGCGUCUUUGCCAUGAAAUAUUUAUUAAAAUAAACAAAAAUAUUUGUUUAAUUUCUGUUAAUACACCUAUUAAUUACUCACAUAUACAUGCAUACUACUGGAUAUUCAAAAAUACAUAUAUAAAAUACACGUGAACACUAAUAUGAAAUCGAUACCAAUAGGUAUAAUGUUAGCAAUGUAUGCAAACACACUUGUGAAUAACUUGCGUAUACAUAGGCCUAUAAAUUUGACGCGAGCUUACAAUAACAUUUACUAACGUAGUUCUGAUAAGAAAAACAUAUGCAUUAUGUGUGUAGAAAUGUACACCUUUUUCUAGAUCGAAACUGCCAAUUAACUUAAACCUUCUCAGAUUUCUUUUUUUUUUAUCUGAUGCAGGGAUGGUGGAUGUGUACUUUAUUAGUGUAAUAGUUAAACAUCAUAUGUAAAUUAAAAAAUAUAUAUAUUGUAUACCCUAUUAUUUGAUACAAAUGUUGUAUUAUUAACCAGUUUUAAAGUUUUACUACAUUCUGUUCCUGAAAUCCACACUUUUGAAAUCAAGAUAAUCAAAGGUAAUCAAAUCAAGCACAACCUAAUAAAACAUGUUUCGUGAAUAAAGGGUGUUGUAAAAAAGAUCAUGGUCCGUGGAUAAUUCAUCUCAAAGUGCACCACAAUGCAGUAUGUGAUAAAACACAAAAACAAAGUGUAUAAAGACAUUUGACAACUUUUUUUAUCUAUAUAGUACAUUUUAUUUACUAAAUGUAUCAUUUUUGGGCA
ensembl:lncRNA